rnacentral:rRNA from 1 species
AGUAACGCGUGGGGGACCUACCGUAUGCAGGGGGACAACAGUCAGAAAUGACUGCUAAUACCGCAUAAGCACACAAUGCUGCAUGGCAUGGUGUGAAAAGAUUUAUCGGCAUACGAUGGCCCCGCGUCUGAUUAGCCAGUUGGCAGGGUAACGGCCCACCAAGGCGACGAUCAGUAGCCGGCCUGAGAGGGUGAACGGCCACAUUGGGACUGAGACACGGCCCAAACUCCUACGGGAGGCAGCAG